rnacentral:lncRNA from 1 species
AACAGUAAUGUGGCUCCUACAACAUUAUUGUAGAAACACUUGGUUGGUCAGUCACUGACUGAAUCGAGGGUAAAGGCCCUCCAACAUCACAACAGAUCAGGACAUGUAAUAUAUAUAUGAAACUCUUUAAAUGUGCUUUUUAUUCAUCUUUCUUCUGACAGUCUUACUAAAAAGAUGAACCGAAGAUCUGCUGUGAAGGAGUCUGCGAUCUGUGAUCCCACUGAAGACACAUACACAGCUCUUGAGCUCAAGUCCACGACCUCUGACCUCUACGACACACUCACAACCGUUCGUCCCAGACCUCCUGAAGACUCUUGAUCCUAAACAUGAGAAUCCAUCAGUAAGUGUCUGAACCUCAGCUCCUCUCAAGAUAAUCAAUAAAACUCUCUUCAGUUCUAGUUUGAUUGUUUCAUGAAGCUUGUGGACGGAGGACGACAAAGGAA